CCUACGGGAGGCAGCAGUGAGGAAUAUUGGUCAAUGGCCGGAAGGCUGAACCAGCCAUGCCGCGUGAAGGUCAGUGCCCUAUGGGCGUUAAACUUCUUUUGUGCGGGAGCAAUAAUGGUCACGUGUGGCCAGACGAGAGUACCGUACGAAUAAGCAUCGGCUAACUCCGUGCCAGCAGCCGCGGUAAUACGGGGGAUGCAAGCGUUAUCCGGAUUUAUUGGGUUUAAAGGGUGCGUAGGCUGUGAGGUAAGUCAGCGGUGAAAUGCCCCCGCGCAACGGGGUGAAGUGCCAUUGAUACUGGCUGGCUGGAAUGCGGAUGCCGUGGGAGGAAUGGGUGGUGUAGCGGUGAAAUGCAUAGAUAUCACACAGAACACCGAUUGCGAAGGCAUCUCACGAACCCGCGAUUGACGCUGAUGCACGAAAGCGUGGGUAUCAAACAGGAUUAGAUACCCUAGUAGUC
rnacentral:rRNA from 1 species